CCAAUGAUGUGAUAAUAAGUGUUGUUUGUUUAAUCUCCCACUUCCCACACGCCAUGCUCCUCCUCAUUCCCUGAGAAAUAGCCUCCUCGUGCCCACCCCCCACCCUCAUCCGGUCGUCCCUGUCCAAAUAUUACGCAACCCAUGUCAAAAAAGAAAUAAAUCACGCAGCCAAAAUUUCUAUGCGCCCUCUCCCUCUCCCCUGAUUUCUCUCUCUCAACCACGACCUCACCGGCUAGAUCCAGCGCUCCCCCACACUCGUCGCUUAUAGGCCCAGAUUCACCUCGGUCCUCUCCUCAACCGCCACCUCACCAGCUAGAUCCGGCGAUCUCCCACGCCCGUCGCUCAUAGGCCCGGAUUCCCUUGCGCCCUCUCCUCUGAUUUUCCAUCGCGGCGACGUUCUCCACGCCUCUGCAUGUGCCCCGCAGCAACCCUAGUGACCACAGGUCGCCGGCGCGGCUCCAUCGCCUCUGGUUUGUAUCGCGCUGCUGCCGGAUCGCGGAUGACGGUGCUGUCCCGCCUCGGCUGUGUUGACGGUUAAUCUGUACUACAGUUUGGAUCAGAAACAUAGUGCUUUAUAGGUCCGUAAGGCAUAAUGAAACCCAAAGGUACGAUUUAACUGCUGAUGCUUUUCCCCUUUUGUUUUCAAGCUAAAACAUCUCUGUUCUGGAGGAUCUGGAGGAGCUCCAGGCUGUAUUGACAUUGGCUUUGGAAUGAAAUUUCCGGGCUCUGCAAACCACUUCCACACUGAAGUUGUACUACUCCAUGACGGGGAGAUUUGUGUCAGCUGUACCUAAUUAUUUGUCCACGUGUAUCUCAUUAUGUGAUUUUCCCCUUGCAGUUUUUGUGCCCGUGAGAUGUCAGCUAACAGUUUGCCAGUCUCUGAAUACUUGCAGUAACCAUGAUUUUGGUUUGGUAUGAAAUUAUCCUACACGUGUGGUUUCAAACUGUUGAGAAUAGAUGCACAGAUAGCUUCAUGGGCAGAUGGAUAUGUACAGCGUACGACAGCACUGGAGAAAGUGGAGCAACCCAUUUGCUUCCUUGAUACACCCUUGACCCUCCCCUGGUUCAGAAGGCCACUAACACAUGACAAAUGGUACACGAUUAGGGAGCUGAGUGGUGACAAGGAUCAAAUUCUCUUGAUUAUAUGAUAUGCCACAUUGGCAGCAAAGGCACAUGGUGCAGGGGCAGGAGCCUACUCGAUGGGCUGAAAAAGCGGAGGUUCGGUUGCGGUUCCCAGAUGCACAGCAGCGGUGCGGCGACUCCCAUAUGCACAAGGGUGGCGCACUGCGAGAUGUACAAAUGUGGCACAGCCGCUCUAGAGUGAUGGUUCCUAAGAUAUUUUGAUGAUGGAUGGCUCAGAUGUUGAUUGCAAGGUCGGGAAUGGCAUUCCUACUAGAUAGUGUUAUGUUAUAUUUUAGGACAUCAUUUCCGGUGUCAAUGUUUCAAACAUUAUGUUUUAGAAUAGUUGAGACGUUGAUUGAAACGUCCAGGAUUGGCUAGUACUAGUUAGUAUCAAAACAUGUAAUCCUUGGAGUCAUGUUCUUUGUAAUGCAACAAAGUAAAUUUAAUAUAUUACACCUUUCUCUUUA